AAAUUUUACUCUAGACUGUCCUAAAAGAAUUCCCCUCCCUUCCAUUCUGGGGAGCAGAAGUUAAAAUUAGGGCCAACCCUGCGGGACUGACAUGCCAGAUGCAGAGAGGCUGUCCCCUGAAAUAAGCUGGUUCCCACCGCGGAUGGGCGGGGCAGGCGCCUCUGGUCCCAACCAGCGGAGGGACUGCUGGAAGGCCUGCCCCUUCCAAGUGUCAGCAAGAGGUCUGGUCCCAAGCUUUAAAAUCCUGAAGGAAGGCACCUCGUGCCGACCUCUCCUCUCCUCUCCUCUCCUCUCCUCCAGCGGUGGCUAGCUGCUAAAAACUGUGAGGUCGUGUCCCUGAGCAGCUCCCGCGUCGCCUGGGACAAGGGGGCCCCCGCGCGGUUUGACCGCCCGCUGAAGCCCAGCGUCGCGACGCUCUCCACACAGGCACCUCCAGCUUGCCACUCCGCCCGCUUUGCAAAGUUGGGUAGCUCCAGGAGCAAACUUUGCCUCUGGGCUUCUCCCUCCUGGGCCCCAGUGCCCCCGCCUCCCCGCUCCCUUUCACCACCAGCAGCCGGUCCCGGACUUGGCAGCCUGCAUCCCUUGCCCAGCCCUGCUCCCUGAAGCACGACCAUGCUGCUAAGGGGCGUCCUCCUGGUGGUGCAAGCCCUGCAGCUUGCUGGUGCCUUGGACCUGCCCGCUGGGUCCUGUGCCUUUGAAGAGGGCACUUGUGCCUUUGACUCGGUGUUUGCAUUUCUGCCAUGGAUUUUAAAUGAGGAAGGCCAUUAUGUUUAUGUGGAUGCCUCCUUUGCCAAGCAGGGAGAGAAAGCUGUGCUGCUCAGCUCUGACUUACAGGCAGAGGAGUGGAGCUGUCUCCGCUUGGUCUACCAGAUAACUGCGGCUCCAGGGCCUCCAUCACAUCCCAGCCAGCUGAACCUCUACGUGAGAUUCGAGGAUGAAAGCUUUGACCGCUUGCUUUGGUCAGCUAAGAAACCUUCAGACAGCUGGCUCAUAGCCAGCCUGGAUUUGCCAAACAGUUCCAAGAAAUUCAAGAUUUUAAUAGAAGGCAUCCUAGGACAGGGAAACACAACCAGCAUUGCACUCUUUGAAAUCAAGAUGACAACUGGCUACUGUAUCGAGUGUGACUUUGAAGAAAAUCAUCUCUGUGGCUUUGUGAACCGCUGGAAUCCCAACGUGAACUGGUUUGUUGGAGGUGGAACUAUUCGGAACUCCCACUCCAUUCUCCCACAGGAUCACACCUUCAAGAAUGAACUGGGCCACUACAUGUACGUGGACUCGGUUUACGUCAAGCACUUCCAGGAGGUGGCUCAGCUCAUCUCCCCCAUGACCACGGCCCCCAUGUCUGGCUGCCUGUCCUUCUAUUACCAGCUCCAGCAGGGGAAUGACAACGUCUUUUCCCUUUACACUCGGGAUGUGGCCGGCCUGUAUGAGGAGAUCUGGAAAGUGGACAAUCCAGGGAACGCAGACUGGAACCUUGCAGAGGUCGAGUUCAGCGCUCCUUACCCCAUGGAGGUUAUCUUUGAGGUUGCUUUCAAUGGUCCCAAAGGAGGAUAUGUUGCCCUGGAUGAUAUUUCUUUCUCUCCUGUGAGCUGCCAAAAUCAGACAGAGCUUCCUUUCAGUGCUGUGGAAGCAAGCUGCAAUUUUGAGGAAGAUCUCUGCAACUUUUACCAAGAUAAAGAAGGUCCAGGUUGGACCCGAGUGAAAGUAAAGCCAAACGUGUAUCGGGCUGGAGAUCACACUACAGGCUUUGGAUAUUACUUGCUGGCCAACACAAAGUUUACUUCUCAGCCUGGCUACAUUGGAAGGCUUUAUGGUCCCUCCUUACCUGGAAACUUACAGUAUUGCCUACGUUUUUAUUAUGCCAUCUAUGGGUUUUUGAAAAUGAGUGACACCUUAGCAGUUUAUAUCUUUGAAGAAAAUCAUGUAGUUCAAGAGAAGAUUUGGUCCCUGCUUGAGUCCCCAAGAGGUGUUUGGAUGCAAGCUGAAAUCACCUUUAAGAAGCCCAUGCCUACCAAGGUGGUUUUCAUGAGCUUAUGCAAAAGUUUUUGGGACUGUGGUCUUGUGGCCCUGGAUGAUAUUACAAUACAACUGGGAAGCUGCUGGUCUCCAGAGAGACUUCCACCUCCACCUGGAGAGUGUACAUUUGAUCAAGAUGAAUGUGCAUUUACGCAGGAGAAAAGAAACCGGAGCAGCUGGCACAGGAGGAGGGGAGAAACUCCUACUUCCUACACAGGACCUAAGGGAGAUCACACUACUGGGGCUACUACAUGUACAUCGAGGCCUCCCAUAUGGUGUAUGGACAAAAAGCACAUCUCCGGUCCAAGCCUCUGCGAGGCAUCCCUGGAAAACACUGCUUGACCUUCUUCUACCACAUGUAUGGAGCAGGGACUGGCCUGCUGAGUGUUUACUUGAAGAAAGAAGAAGACAGUGAAGAGUCGCUUUUAUGGAGAAGAAGAGGUGAGCAGAGCAUUUCCUGGCUCCGAGCGCUGAUUGAGUACAGCUGUAUGCAGCAACACCAGAUAAUUUUUGAAGCCAUUCGGGGAGCAUCAAUAAGAAGUGAUAUUGCUAUUGAUGAUGUUAAAUUUCAGGCAGGACCCUGUACAGAAGUGGAAGAUACAACUCAACAAUCAUCAGGAUAUUCUGAGGAUUUAAAUGCAAUUGAGUAUUAAAACAUGAUCUGAAUUGGAUUAAUUAGACAAAAGUUGUACCUCUCUUCAAUCAAAAUGAAAAUGAAACAAAUGAAUACUGGACGGUCUUAAUCAUUUUAUAAGUUAUAAGAUGACUUCAGAGCAAUCCUUUUCAUUACUUUUGCAAAAAAAUACUGACUCAGGGCUUUUUAUUUUUUUCCUUGCAUUUGACAACUGUUACUAGGAGUACAGGCUGUUGGUUUUGAAUAGAUCAUUCAUCUUAAUUUUGGUACCAGUUAAAAUACAAAUGUGCUUAUAGUCAUUUUAAAGUAUUCAAAUAAAGGGCACAAUCAAAAUGAGUGUGCUCACUUAAAUCUGCAUUCAGUGAAUGUAUUGAGAGAAUAGGUUUUGUGGGGUUUUAUUUGAAUUUCAAGUAGAUCAUCAACAUUUUUAAAGUAAAUAAUGUGGGGUAUCAGUAAUAUCUGCAGAAUGAAUGCAGUUUUCCAUGGAAACAAGUUAGACAGGAAAAGUGAAGUCUUAUUUUCUAUGUUUUAUUCAUAGAAAUGGAGCAUUAAUUUUUAAUAUUUUUCACCAUAUGUGAUAACAAAGGAUCUUUCUUGAAAUCCCAGGGUAAGUCAGUAUUAAUUAAUGCUGCAUUACAAGUUAUGCUACCUUCUUUUUUCUCCCUUUAAACUACCUUUGAAAGUCACUAUGAGCACAUGGAUAGAAAUUGCACUCUUUUUUUUAAUAAAGCAAGCUUGAAAUUUUUUAUGUACACACAUCCAAUAAUUUUUAUAAAUUUGUUCAACAAUUUGACUGAUUUUUGUAACAAAUGUUUUGGUAAAGUUUUGAGUAAUAUGAAUUCAAUCAGAUAUACUAAACUACUGCUUUUUUAUUUACCUGAUUGGAAAAUUGUAUAUAUUAUAUAUGUUUGUGUAUUAAUACAGCUGUUGUGAAAUCAUAAAUUACCUAAUAAAAGAUAAUUUGAAAAAUCUU